rnacentral:rRNA from 1 species
AUUGAACGCUGGCGGAAUGCUUUACACAUGCAAGUCGAACGGUAGAGGGGCAACCCUUGAGAGUGGCGAACGGGUGAGUAAUGUAUCGGAACAUGCCCAGUCGUGGGGGAUAACGUAGCGAAAGUUACGCUAAUACCGCAUACGAUCUAUGGAUGAAAGCGGGGGAUCGCAAGACCUCGCGCGAUUGGAGUGGCCGAUAUCAGAUUAGGUAGUUGGUGGGGUAAAGGCCUACCAAGCCGACGAUCUGUAGCUGGUCUGAGAGGACGACCAGCCACACUGGGACUGAGACACGGCCCAGACUCCGACGGGAGGCAGCAGUGGGGAAUUUUGGACAAUGGGCGAAAGCCUGAUCCAGCCAUUCCGCGUGCAGGAAGAAGGCCUUCGGGUUGUAAACUGCUUUUGUACGGAACGAAACGCGCUGUGCUAAUACCACGGCGUAAUGACGGUACCGUAAGAAUAAGCACCGGCUAACUACGUGCCAGCCGCCGCAGUAACAC